rnacentral:rRNA from 1 species
CCUACGGGUGGCUGCAGUCGAGAAUUUUUCACAAUGGGGGAAACCCUGAUGGAGCGACGCCGCGUGGAGGAUGAAGGCCUUCGGGUUGUAAACUCCUGUCAUGCGGGAACAAGAAAGUGAUAGUACCGCAAGAGGAAGAGACGGCUAACUCUGUGCCAGCAGCCGCGGUAAUACAGAGGUCUCAAGCGUUGUUCGGAUUCAUUGGGCGUAAAGGGUGCGUAGGUGGCGAUGUAAGUCUGGUGUGAAAUUUCGGAGCUCAACUUCGAAACUGCAUUGGAUACUGCGUUGCUCGAGGAUUGUAGAGGAGAGUGGAAUUCACGGUGUAGCAGUGAAAUGCGUAGAUAUCGUGAGGAAGACCAGUUGCGAAGGCGACUCUCUGGGCAACUCCUGACACUGAGGCACGAAGGCUAGGGGAGCAAACGGGAUUAGAUACCCAAGUAGUC